rnacentral:lncRNA from 1 species
CCCUACUGCACGAUCUAAGGGGCUGAAUAUCAAGGAACAAAUGCAUUAAUCAUGGGAGAGCCUGUGUGCCAACGAGCAUAAAGACCACUGCACCCAGCAGCGGCGAUUGCGUGAACCUUUCCACAGACCACACGCUCCGAAGUAGCUCUCUGAAGUCUCAUUACUGAAUGUGUAGGGGAGGGAUGGGGGGUUGCAUCUGACUUUCACUGAAAUGUGCAUUUAGAAAUAAGUGUAUUUACAUUUAGUUUUAUGUUUAAAAAGGGGGGUAGGGAUGGGGAAUCUUUGGGCCACAGUCAUUAUAGAUGAAACAAACACACGGACACAGAUAACACACACGCGCACAUGCACAAAAGCUUUCGGGGAGAAACAGAAAAUAAUGUUUUGCAAUUACAGUCCACAGCUGCUGCAGUUCCAGUGUGCGUGUGCUACACAGGUGCGGCCAUUAUAACAAUGAAUAGCGCACAUUAAACGUGCCAUCCAUAGGGGUAAUAAUACUAGGGUUGAAAAGGUAUUUUCAUUUGCAACCUGAUGUUAGGCAGAAAAUAAAAUAAGGCAUUUCACAGCCAGCCUGAUGGCUCGGCUACCACAUGGGAGGCCCAAGCCUGAGAUGAAUCUGAGACCCUUAUGUGUGUGUCUAACAGUGGGAACCUGGCCAUGGUUCCUAGAGAGACCGUCAAAUUUCUUUCUGUUCUAAAAAGCCUGCUGACCAUGAAGUGGGGGAAACUGAGGCUCCACACAGUUUAUCCAGUUAGCAGUAUCAGCCAGCAUGACAUCUAUCCCUGCCCAGCGCCUACUAGUGUCUGGAUCCUAGAAAUAGUGUUGGGGGAAAAAAUACAGAGAGAGGUUCCCCCAUGGGUGGGGAAGUAGAAUGGCUCCCACAGAGAAGGAACCCUGGAGGAGGAAGUGGUUUUGAGACAGCUCCCCUUAGGCCCUGUCUCUGCACCAUGCCAUCACUAAGCUCUACCCCACAACUCAGCAAUGUUCUUCCCUGGGACAGCCCCAGAAGGCUUGGCUCUAAGCCCAAAAUAGCCGACCUGCUUUGCUCACCUCUCUCUUUAAAAGCCCAGCAGCAGAAUGGGCCCUGUAUCUCAUUUCAUUUACUUUCCACAGCUUCUCAAAUCACUAAACUCUUCACUCUUGGUGGACAAAUUCAUCUUCAGGCAACCAAGACAUUCAUGAAGAUUGGCAGUUGGAAAACGCUGGAAAAGAGACAGCUUUGGGUAGUGACAAGAGAGUGAGCUUUAGAAUCAGAGGACAAAAGACCCCAUCUCAGCACGGCCAGCUCUGUGAUCUUGAACAAAUUAUUUAAACUCUCUGAACCUCUGCAAAAUGAGGUUAAUAGUAUCUGCUGCAUAGGGUUGUCGUAAGGCUCUAAUGACACCAAGUAUGUGAAAAUACUUAACGCCAAGCUUGGAACUAGCAAGCACUAAAUAAAUAAUAGAGAUUAUGAGAGUAACUUCCAUUUCUUUAUCUCAUAAUAGAGAUUAUGAGAGUAACUUCCAUUUUCCUGAGUGGGUCUGUGAAUAACUUCUAACCCAUUCUCAGCAAUAAAAUGGAAAUCUCUAUCAAGAAAGGAGAAAAAAAUGUACUACACAUAUUUCUCACAACCAUAGAGGCAGCUUCAGACCAAACAUUUCAGG